UGGGGAAUAUUGGACAAUGGGCGAAAGCCUGAUCCAGCCAUGCCGCGUGAGUGAUGAAGGCCUUAGGGUUGUAAUGCUCUUUUUGGCGGGGACGAUAAUGACGGUACCCGCAGAAUAAGCCCCGGCUAACUUCGUGCCAGCAGCCGCGGUAAUACGAAGGGGGCUAGCGUUGUUCGGAAUUACUGGGCGUAAAGCGCACGUAGGCGGAUCAGCAAGUCAGGGGUGAAAUCCCGGGGCUCAACCUCGGAACUGCCUCUGAUACUGCUAGUCUAGAGUCCGGAAGAGGUGGGUGGAAUUCCUAGUGUAGAGGUGAAAUUCGCAGAUAUUAGGAAGAACACCGGUGGCGAAGGCGGCCCACUGGUCCGGUACUGACGCUGAGGUGCGAAAGCGUGGGGAGCAAACAGGAUUAGAUACCCAAGUAGUCCCUGAGCGGGCUGGCAAGGCGCAU
rnacentral:rRNA from 1 species